rnacentral:misc_RNA from 1 species
AAAAAAAAAAGCGUUUCCAGGGAAGACGAAGCAGUCUAAAGGCGAUCCAUCGGCAAAAGCUGAAAAGAAUUUGAUGGGAAGCUCAUCAUUUCAAAGUCUUUCCAGGAAAAAUGACGGAACAAAUGUUACUUUUGCUCCUAUUAUGAAUUCGUCUGCCAGGACUUCAUGUAAUUCAUCACUGAAUUCCACGAUUUCAAAGUCUGACAGGAGACUUCCAUUGGAAUCAUAUAAUAAUUCAAUGGAAACCAAAAAGAAUCUGGACAUUAAGCAAGAGAAUUUU